rnacentral:rRNA from 1 species
UUAGUGGCGGACGGGUGAGUAACGCGUGGGUAACCUGCCUUGUACGGGGGGACAACAGUUGGAAACGACUGCUAAUACCGCAUAAGCGCACAGCUUCGCAUGAAGCAGUGUGAAAAACUCCGGUGGUACAAGAUGGACCCGCGUCUGAUUAGCUGGUUGGUGAGGUAACGGCCCACCAAGGCGACGAUCAGUAGCCGGCCUGAGAGGGUGAACGGCCACAUUGGGACUGAGACACGGCCCAAACUCCUACGGGAGGCAGCAUG